rnacentral:lncRNA from 1 species
GAACACUUCAGAGAAGGAAGAGUUUGAAAUAUUUCUAUCCCCAAAAAUAGAGGAUGGCAAGCUACAGCCCCUGGAUCAAAUCCAGCUUGCCCCGUUUUUCCAAAUAAAGUUUUAUUGGAACACGGACGUGCCCAUUCAUUUACGUAUUGACUGCUUUGAGGCCUCUUUGGGGCCUUUUUUUUUUUUUUUCUCUGUUCAUUUUUUUGUUUUUAAUCUUUUUGCAAUGUUUAAAGUCAACAUAUGCAUAGAGUAUUAACAGAUAAAAAAGGUAAGUUUUAGAAAGAACAAAACAAUUAAUUUUCUAAACAUUUGUGGAUCUCAAGUAAUGGCCAGACUGUGUGGAAACUUUGUCCAUGCCAACAUUCCUCGGGGGUGGUGUCAAUUGUCAUAAUCUAUAGGAGAGUAGUGUGUCGUAUGAUGAAUCAUACCCAUCAACACGGUAGUGCCAUUUCAUGGUCCUCAUCUUUGCAACCCUGUAUGGCAAGUUCCCACCGUGUCCUUCACUUGUGUUCACAUGAGCAUGUUCUCUCGUGUCCUGUGUCACAGGUACAGCUAAAACAUGGAAACUCGGUCUCUGGUGCCAGCAGGACUCGGAACGUGGGUCCCAGCUCAUUCUUCUAGAAGGUCCUGAGACAAGCAUUUCAUAUAUCCACAUCCUAACUGAAUGCAGCUCCCGUUCUUCUGAAUUUCUGUCAGAGUUUCUUCCUGGAAACAAGCCUGAAUCUGGAACAAACCACCGACUGCAUCUAUGAGGAGCUGACAGAAUCAGAGGGAAUAGGAUUCAGAAGAUUACCCUUGGACCAGCAGGGACCUGAGGAGGAGAGGAUGUGACUGUGGUUGGCCCUUCCUCCUAACCUCACUCCACAUAUUUGUUCUUUGACUCAAAAGUGAUGACCUUCGGACCGCAUGCUGUUUCCGCAGCACAAGCUACCGGGGAGACUUUGAGGCCAAGCUCCAAAACUGCUAUCAAAAGGAGAGAUUGGCCGUUAACCCCACUUCUUUUUUGCUCCCUUCCCUGCAAGAAGGCUCUUUCUAUGAAGUGGCAAAUCUGUGAUUUCAGAAGGAAAGAAUGCCUCUUUUCUGAGAAUCCCAGCACAAUCCGCAGAGAGUGCUCAUCGGCCAGCUUGGAUGCUACAUCUAUCUGUAAUCCAAACACUGUGGACAGGGGAAUGUAGAAUUAUGGUGGGCCAGGUCUAGGGCAUGUGUCCACCCCAUGAGAGAAGUGAAGGAGGAGGAGUUACUCCCACUUCAACUACAUGGGAUAAGUUCUUGAUAAGAGAAUUCUUUUAACACGAGACGGAAGAGGAGAUGCCAGGCAGGCAAAAAAGUCAACAGACAUCUGCUAUUUUUGCACGCAUAUGUAAUGUCUGGUGGUGUGCCCCACCCCCCCCACCCCCGUUUAGGCUCUUUGCAUGUUUAGACCUAUGUCACAGCCAUCAUCAUCAACGGUCAGUCAUUGUACGGACCAGAUAUCUUCACCUGGAAGGAAACAUUUCUCUGACUCCUCUGUUCUCCUUUUCUUUGCGCAAAAGACCAACUGCAUAAACCAAACAGUAAAAAGAUUCUCGAAAGUGGGGGGAUGCUCAAAGUGUUAUCCUAGAACAGCAGUGUCGAAAUCAGCUGGAAACUUGUGAGAAAGGCAAAUUCUUUGACACCACCCUAGGCCGACUAAAACAUCUCAUGGUGGGGCAGGGCAGUCACGUUUUUCCAAAUUCUACCCGGGAUCCUGAAGCAUGCUACAGUUUGAGAACCACUAUUCCCUGGAGAUCGUUAAAAACCAUGUAACCAGAGGUCAUUUCAGGGCCUCAGGGGGAAGCGUUUUCUUAAUAGACUGCAUGAAGAGUCCUUCCCUGAUCAUUUUGAUUCAGCAGGUGUGGGAUGGUGCUUAUUCAUCUAUAUUUUACCAGAAUUCCAAAAGGAGUCCGAAUGCAUACCAAUGCAUACUCAAGUUUGAGAAUCACUGUCUGAAAAGAGAAAAACAUUUAAGGCAAGAUUGGUGUUGAGGUUUCAACAUUGUGGAGACAGCCACCAUAGUUCAAGAGCAGCCCAAGAACUUGAACAGAUUGGAAACUGAGUGACCCCAGGAUUUGAAAGCAGCUGCUGUAGAAAGAACUCAAGCCAGGCUGACUAAUGAAAUGUGACGAGGACCAGGGAAGCCCUUUCAGAUAAUGUAGC